GGCCUUUCUGGACCUCGCCUGACUCGGCUGGGCUGUGCCUGAAAUUGACCCAGCUCCACUAGGAAUUAUGAAGAAACAAGGAGUAAGCCCAAAGCCGCUGCAAUCUUCCCGCCCCAGCCCGUCUAAGCGGCCCUGCGGGGCCUCCCCCGCCCGGGAGCGGGAGGUGGAAAAGUCGGCCCUAGGCGGCGGGAAACUGCCGGGGGGCGCCAGGAGGUCCUCCCCGGGGAGGAUCCCAAAUCUGAAAAAGCGAAAAGGCUUGGAGCUAAAGGUGGUGGCCAAGGCCCUUCUCGGCCCCUUCCAGUUCGUCUGUAAUUCCCUGGCGCAGCUCCGGGAAGAGGUGCACGAACUGCAGGCGCGGUGGUUCCCCAGCAGAACCACUCUGCAUCGCCGUCUUUGUGGCAAUUCUACAUUGGUUACAUUUAGUAACACUUUUUGAAAAUGAUCAUCAUUUCUCUCACCUCUCAUCUUUGGAACGGGAGAUGACUUUUUGCAUUGAAACGGUUAGGUUUCUUCUUCUAACGAAUUAAUUUGUGGUUUAAGAAUAGCCAGACCGAGAGGUGACAGCAUGCUGGCAGUCCUCAGAGCCCUUGCUUGCUCUCGGCACCUCCCCUGCCUGGGCUCCCGCUUUGGUGGCAUUUGAGGAGCCCUUCAGUCCCCCACUGCACUGUGGGAGCCCCUUUCUGGGCUGGCCAAGGCCGGAGCCCACUCCCUCAGCUUGCAGGGAGGUGUGGAGGGAGAGACACGAGCGGGAACCGGGGCUGUGUGCUGCACUUGCGGGCCAUCUGGAGUUCCGGGUGGGCGUGGGCUUGGUGGGCCCCGCACUCAGAGCAGCCAGCCAGCCCUGCUGGCCCCGGGCAAUGGGGGACUUAGCACCUGGGCCAGUGGCUGCGGAGGGUGUACUGAGUCCCCCAGCAGUGCUGGCCCACCGGCGCUGCGCUCGAUUUCUCGCUGGGCCUUGGCUGCCUUCCCACGGGGCAGGGCUCGGGACCUGCAGCCCGCCAUGCCUGAGCCUCCUACCCAAUCCAUGGGCUCCUGUGCGGCCUGAGCCUCCCCGACGAGCACCACCCCCUGCUCCACGGCGCCCAGUCCCAUCGACCACGCAAGGGCUGAGGAAUGCGAGCGCCCGGCACAGGACUGGCAGGCAGCUCCACCUGCAGCCCCAGUGCAGGAUCCACUAGGUGAAGCCAGCUGGGCUCCUGAGUCUGGUGGGGACGUGGAGAGUCUUUAUAUCUAGCUCAGGGAUUGUAAAUACACCAAUCAGCACCCUGUGUUUAGCUCAAGGUUUGUGAGUGCACCAGUCAACACUCUGUAUCUAGCUGCUCUGGUGAGGGCGUGGAGAGUCUUUAUGUCUAGCUCAAGGAUUGUAAAUACACCAAUCAGCACUCUGUGUCUAGCUCAAGGAUUGUAAAUACACCAAUCGGCACUCUGUAUCUAGCUCAAGGUUUGUAAACACACCAAUCAGCACCCUGUGUUUAGCUCAAGGUUUGUGAGUGCACCAGUCGACACUCUGUAUCUAGCUGCCCUGAUGGGGACGUGGAGAACCUUUGUAUCUAGCUCAGGGAUUGUAAACGCACCAAUCAGCGCCCUGACGAAACAGGCCACUCGGCUCUACCAAUCAGCAGGAUGUAGGUGGGGCCAGAUAAGAGAAUAAAAGCGGGCUGCCCGAGCCAGCAUUGGCAACCCGCUCGGGUCCCCUUCCACACUGUGGAAGCUUUGUUCUUUCGCUCUUUGCAAUAAAUCUUGCUACUGCUCACUCUUUGGGUCCACGCUGCUUUUGUGAGCUGUAACACUCACCAUGAAGAUCUGCAGCUUCACUCCUGAGCCCAGCGAGACCACGAGCCCACCGGGAGGAACGAACAACUCCAGACACGCCACCUUAAGAGCUGUAACACUCACCGCGAGGGUCCACCGCUUCAUUCUUGAAGUCAGUGAGACCAAGAACCCACCAAUUCCGGACACAAGACUAUGAGGGACUUUAUUAUUCUUACUUCAAGACCAUUAUUGAAGCACCUUCAUUUUUGGGAGGACUGUGGAUGAUUAUGAAUGACAGGCUUACUGAAUAUCCUCUUGUAAUUAAUGCAGUAAAACGCUUCCAUAUUUAUCCAGAGGUAAUCAUAGCCUCCUGGUAUCGCACAUUCAUGGGAAUAGUGAAUUUAUUUGGACUAGAAACUAAGACCUGCUGGAAUGUCACCAGAAUAGAACCUCUUAAUGAAGUUCAAAGCUGUGAAGGAUUGCGAGAUCCUGCUUGCUUUUAUGUUGGUGUAAUCUUUAUUUUAAAUGGACUAAUGAUGGGAUUGUUCUUCAUAUAUGGAACAUACCUAAGUGGUACUGAACUGGGAGGUCUUAUUACAGUACUGUGCUUCUUUUUCAACCAUGGAGAGGCCACCUGUGUGAUGUGGACACCACCUCUCCGUGAAAGUUUUUCCUAUCCUUUCCUUGUACUUCAGAUGUAUGUUUUAACUUUGAUUCUCAGAUUAGGUGAUGGAAGCUGCCCAUUCUUCAUCACCCCUUGCUACUCAUUCCCAGUUUAAUUCCUAGAAAGGACCUCAAGCAAUGAUAGAAGGCCCUUCAUUGCACUCUGUCUUUCCAAUGUUGCUUUUAUGCUUCCCUGGCAAUUUGCUCAGUUUAUACUUUUUACACAGAUAGCAUCAUUAUUUCCCAUGUAUGUUGUGGGAUACAUUGAACCAAGCAAAUUUCAGAAGAUCAUUUAUAUGAACAUGAUUUCAGUUACCCUUAGUUUCAUUUUGAUGUUUGGAAAUUCAAUGUACUUAUCUUCUUAUUAUUCUUCAUCUUUGUUAAUGACAUGGGCAAUAAUUCUAAAGAGAAAUGAAAUUCAAAAACUGGGAGUAUCUAAACUCAACUGCUGGCUAAUUCAAGGUAGUGCCUGGUGGUGUGGAACAAUCAUUUUGAAAUUUCUGACAUCUAAAAUCUUAGGCGUUUCAGACCAUAUUUGCCUGAGUGAUCUUAUAGCAGCCGGAAUCUUAAGGUAUACAGAUUUUGAUACUUUAAAAUACACCUGUUCUCCCGAAUUUGACUUCAUGGAAAAAGCGACUCUGCUGAUAUACACAAAGACAUUAUUGCUUCCAGUUGUUAUGGUGAUUACAUGUUUUAUCUUUAAAAAGACUGUUGGUGAUAUUUCGCGUGUUUUAGCUACAAACGUUUAUCUAAGAAAACAGCUCCUUGAACACAGUGAGCUGGCUUUUCACACAUUGCAGUUGUUAGCAUUUACUGCCCUUGCCAUUUUAAUUUUGAGGCUAAAGCUGUUUUUGACACAGCACAUGUGUGUUAUGGCUUCCUUGAUAUGCUCUUGACGGCUCUUUGGCUGGCUUUUUCGCAGAGUUCGCAGAGAGAAUGUUAUCUUUGGCAUUCUAACAGUGAUGUCAAUACAAGGUUAUGCAAACCUCUGUAAUCAAUGGAGCAUAACAGGAGAAUUUAAUGAUUUGCCUCAGGAAGAACUUUUACAGUGGAUCAAAUACAAUACCGUACCAGAUGCUGUCUUUGCAGGUGCCAUGCCUACAAUGGCAAGUGUCAAGCUGUCUACACUUCAUCCCAUUGUGAAUCAUCCACAUUACGAAGAUGCAGACUUGAGGGCUUGGACAAAAAUAGUUUAUUCUACAUAUAGUGGAAAAUCUGCCAAAGAAGUAAGAGAUAAAUUGUUGGAGUUACAUGUGAAUUAUUAUGUUUUAGAAGAGGCAUGGUGUGUUGUGAGAACUAAGCCUGGUUGCAGCAUGCUUGAAAUCUGGGAUGUGGAAGACCCUUCCAAUGCAGCUAACCCUCCCUUAUGUAGCGUCCUCCUUGAGCCGAGAUUGUGCCACUGCACUCCAGCCUGGGCGACAAAUCAAGACCCCGUCUCCAAAAAAAAAAAAAACAAAACUUGAUUGGGAUCCAAAAUCAUACAACUAUACACUAAAAUCAGUGAAUAUUACCUUAUGUAAAUUAAAAAUUAGGAAAUCAAAAGAAAAGCAUACAUAUAAAAAACAGUUUUUUCUAAGCA
ensembl:lncRNA DPY19L2P2 DPY19L2 pseudogene 2